rnacentral:misc_RNA from 1 species
UACAGAGGGUGCAAGCGUUGUUCGGAAUGAUUGGGCGUAAAGGGCGCGUAGGCGGUGCGGUAAGUCACCUGUGAAAUCUCCCGGCUUAACUGGGAACCUGCAGGCGAAACUACCGUGCUGGAGUGUGGGAGAGGUGGGUGGAAUUCCCGGUGUAGCGGUGAAAUGGGUAGAUAUCGGGAGGAACACCUGUGGCGAAAGCGGCGCACUGGACCAUAACUGACGCUGAUGCGCGAAAGCUAGGGGAGCAAACAGG